UGAGCUUCUCGACUGCACCAGUUUCUCACCAUGGUGCACCUCCAAAUCCAAACCCCACCUCACAACAAACCCAACCAACCCCACACGAGGCCCCCGCCGCCACCACUCUUCCGAUGUCCCCCACCAUCCUCUCGACCCCCUCACGGUCCAAGAAAUCAACCGCGUCCGUACAAUCCUCUCUUCCCACGCGCCGCUCAAAGCAUCGAAGAGGUAUACGAUUCACGCCGUUGACCUGGAGGAGCCGGCGAAGCCACUCGUCCUCCGGUGGAAGAAAGGCAACCCCAUGCUGCCACGGAGGGCUUCCGUAAUAGCACUUGUGGGGGGGGAGUCGCACUUGUUGACAGUGGACUUGGCCACGAGUCAGGUCACUCGAGACGACGUCCUUCCUCCCUCCGGCUAUCCGACGAUGACCGUUGAGGACAUGACGACGGCCACGAAGGCUCCGCUUGUGGAUGGGAAUUUCAACCGUACGAUCAUCGAGCGCGGGAUUGAUCUGGCGGAUCUCGCUUGUUUGCCACUUUCGACGGGGUGGUUUGGGAAAAGUGAGGAGAAGAGGCGGCUGAUUAAGGUUCAGUGCUACUCCUUGAAGGACACUGUCAACUUCUACAUGAGGCCAAUCGAAGGUCUGACGGUGCUUGUGGAUUUGGACAGCAAGCAAGUGGUCGAGAUUUCAGAUCGAGGACAGAACAUCCCCAUACCCAACGCCGCCAACACAGACUAUCGCUACUCCGCCCAGAGCAAACCCACGAACCUACUCAACCCGAUAUCCAUAGAGCAGCCCAAGGGCCCGAGUUUCACAGUAGAAAACGACCACUUGAUCAAAUGGGCAAAUUGGGAAUUCCACCUCAAAGCCGAAUCAAGAGCCGGAGUGAUAAUUUCCCGGGUCAUGUUUCGGGACCCGGACACCGGAUUGCUGAGGAAUGUGAUGUACAAAGGCUUAACAUCCGAGUUUUUUGUCCCAUACAUGGACCCAACUGAUGCAUGGUACUUCAAGACUUACAUGGAUGCUGGCGAAUACGGGUUUGGACUCCAGGCAAUGCCCCUUGACCCGCUUAACGAUUGUCCGCGAAACGCAUACUACAUGGAUGGUGUGUUCGCUGCAGCUGAUGGCACGCCAUUCGUACAAUCAAAUAUGAUCUGCAUCUUUGAGAGCUAUGCAGGUGAUAUCGGAUGGCGGCACGCAGAGAGUCCAAUUACAGGCAUGGGGGUAAGGUUGGACCCGAUGGAUAUGCCCCGUGUGGGUUCAUAUUCCAUGACUCGGUCCAUGUUCUGAUUUUGUUGGUUUAAGUAAUUACGUACCCCAAGUUUGAAAAUAAUGGAUGACGAUAGCUGUUUUGUUUUGGCUAUUGAUAGAUCCGAGAGGUGAGACCGAAGGUGACGCUUGUGGUUAGAAUGGCAGCAUCAGUGGCCAAUUAUGAUUAUAUUGUGGAUUGGGUGUUUCAGACUGAUGGCCUCAUCCGAAUCAAGGUUAGCAACUAAUCAAACCUGUCAAUUGAAUCCCGUAUGUGUUGUUAGUAGCUUUUGCCAUAUAAUCUUUGAGUAUGUAUGGAGAGAUAUAGACCAUCAAAUAGGGGUAUAAAUGAAUAAGACCAAAGUAUAUUUAUAACAUUUAACCUUGUACAAAAUAUCUAUUAUUCACCUUACCUAGACAAGUCACUUCUUUUGAUAAGGUUUCAUGGACGAACUGUCUCAUGGAAAGUUACAGUCUAAUAACUAUUAUUAGUCAGCUAUAUGUUCUAUCCCAGUGCUCGUAUUCAAAUACUGAUUUGAAAAAUACUCACAGGUUGGACUUAGUGGCAUCCUGAUGGUGAAAGGCACCCCUUAUGUGAACAUGAACCAAGUGCCAGGGCAGGAAUAUCUCUAUGGCACCCUCUUAUCAGAAAAUGUCAUCGGGGUUAUCCAUGACCACUACCUCACUUUCUAUCUGGACAUGGACGUGGAUGGCUCGGAUAAUUCAUUUGUUAAAGUGAAUCUUGAGAAGCAGAUGACUGCUAAUGGGGAAUCGCCAAGGAGGAGCUUCUUAAAGGCUACCAGGAAGGUGGCGAAGACGGAGAAGGACGCACAAAUCAAAUUCAAACUCUAUGAGCCAGCUGAGUUUCAUGUCAUCAAUCCGUCCAAAAAGACACGGGUUGGGAACCCCGUUGGGUACAAGGUGGUUGCCGGUGGAACAGCUGCUAGCUUGCUCGAUCAUGAAGAUCCUCCCCAGAAGCGUGGCGCUUUUACUAACAAUCAAAUAUGGGUCACCCCGUAUAAUCGGAGUGAGCAAUGGGCAGGUGGCUUGUUGGUUAGCCAGAGCCAGGGUGAUGACAAUCUUGCAGUAUGGUCUGAUCGGUAAGCUUUUUACUUAUUUAUUUAUUUUAUAAUACGGUUGUAAUCAGAGCAUGGAAAAUUGAAGAUACGAUGAAAACAUUGCAGGAAUAGGCCAAUUGAGAACAAGGACAUUGUGGUUUGGUAUACUUUGGGCUUCCAUCACAUACCAUGUCAAGAGGACUUCCCUGUCAUGCCAACAGUUUCCUCAAGCUUCGACCUAAAGCCUGUCAAUUUCUUCGAGAGCAAUCCCAUUCUUCGGAUGCCACCUAAUGUCGAAAAUGAUCUUCCAAUUUGCAAGCCAGAUGCUUCAGCUUAAACACCCGAAAUACUCUGUUUUGUUAUAUGUUGUAGAUAUAUGAAGAUACCAGAAUAGUGGGGCUGUAACUAAUCCCAAACUUGAUAAAAUAAAUGUGGAUUAUGGCUUUUUCUCCCCGCAGCUUUAUGACAAAUGAUUUGCUGCAAACAAUGUAAAGAAUUAUUUGCAAAAGCUGACCACCUAAUGAACAGGUAGACGAGGAUCAGGGGAUCGGAUUAUGAAAGUAAAAUGAAAAGUGAUUAUCAUUUGGCCCGAUUCGAAACUAUUUUCGAAAACAAAAACACAUUUGAAAAUAAAAAAUUAGAAAAUAUUGGUUUGGUGCGGAGUGCCGUGGACGGCUCAAAAGCGUGCGGGAGAUGUUGGUUUGGUUUUUUUGACGUGAGGCGGGCCAUGCGCUGGAAACAAUGAAAAGAAAGGAAAAGGAAAUUUUACCUUCCUCCUCCAUUUGCGUAUACACUCCACUCACGGAAAAAGAAAAGGGGGCUUUUUUCCGACUCUAUGUAACAUUGACAAAUGACAGCCUUGUGUUUCUAAGGUGAGCCAUGGGUGGAACCCACCAACGGAUGCCUUGUAGACCCCAACUCAGCCCACCAAGGAGACGACACUUUUCUUGUCUAACCAAAUGGAGAUGGUAGGAGGGCGGCGUAUAAUAAGAAACAUAUCUUAGAUACGAUGGAAACAAAGCCUUGCAAUGUUUUAAGUAUCACUCGUUUUGGAGGAAACGGUUAUUUUGGGUGUAGAUAUAUUUCUUGUUGGGAAAAUGAGAUGAAAUAUUUAUCAUAUUAAUUGAUUCAAGCCAGACAAUAUUUUAUCUUUAAAAUAGGUUUACCCUCUUCAAGGAUCAAACUUCAAUGUAAUAGGGAAUCAAUGUCUCACCUCUUGGAUUCAACAAUCAAAACAUCGUUGAUUUAAGAAAUAUAUUCAUUCUACGGGUCUUACUAAUAUCAUAUAAUUGUUUUUAGACAUUCAAGAAUAAAAUUUCUUGUUCCCUUGUGCACAUUUUAUAGGAUAAAGGUUACAAGAUUGUCAAUUUUUUGGCAUUAAGAUUGAAACCAUCUAAUCGAUUUUUAUAGUUUAUUGCUUCCUCAUCCAAUUGUGUGUUGUAUGAGAGGAAUUAUAUUUGAUAAAAUGAUAUGUGACCUCAUUGAUCCAUAUUGGUAACUUUGCAAGAUAAGUAUGAAAUGAUCGAAAUAGUUUUAUGUGACAACUUAUUGAAUCCAUAAAAGUUUCAAGUAUCCACAUGGUCAUUUUUUUAAGUGGGAGAAUGUUGGAAUUAUUAUGGCCCUCAUGAUCACAUAAAGUUAAUCCUUGUAUUCUAUGGUUUAUGACCGAAGUCAUGAAUUUAAUGUAUUUACAUUUCUCAUAUUAUAUAUAUCAUGUAUGUAGGAAGAUUAAAUGUGCAAGGUAUAUGAAAAAAUAUGAAGUAUCAUAACAAAAGUCAUGAAUUUGCUAAAUUGUGUACAAAUUAUAAUGACCAAAAUCAUGUACCUACUUUAAAGUUAUCAUAUACCAAGAAUAUUACAUAGAAUUGAGAAGUAUGAAUUUAUACUAUCUAAUAGGAAGUGUUCAUUUGUGACUCUAGAUGGAAGAUCACUUAACAUGUUAUAAAAAAAACUCUUGAUUCCUCUCUUCACUCAUCCUUAAGUUUUGAAGGAUUUCAUCGUUUGUUCAAACAUUUAAUAAGAGAAAGAAAAGGAAAGAUACACGGUAUGAAUACUAAUACAAAGAGACUAGGGUAUAUACUACCAGAGUGACUUAACAUUAUAAGUAAUUUCCAUAGAGUGAUCUUUAUCAUAAUAGUACAAAAUGAGGUUUGUAGAUUUAUUUUCUUCCAUUAAACUAGAGUUUGUGUGAUGUUAUUUUGUUCCAAUGUCAAUUUCUUCCCAAAAUUGUAACAUCUCAUCACAAUGCUAAAUAACAUAGAGAAAUAGAUGAUGGAAGGGAAUUUGUGUAUUGACAUUUUUUGUUUUAAUGUUUGAGAAGAAUGUUAUGUUUUUUAGUAUUAAUUGAAUCUAUUUUUAAGUUCUAAGUUAUUUUUAAAUAUUGCUAAACCCAUUUAAAAUUUAAAUGAAUUAAGGGUUUGUUUGAUAAAUUAACUUAAUAAUUUAAUAACUUAAUUUAAAUUAUUAAAUAAAUUAAAUAUGUUUGAUAAAAUAACUUAAUAAUAUUACUUAGAAUUAAAAAUAACUUUUAAUAAUAAUUCAAAAUAAUUAACUUAUUCCAAAUUCCAAAUUUCUUUUACUCAAUAUGCUUACACUUGUCAAAAUCUUUUUUACAUCCACACGGAUAUAUUUGUCACUCAUUUUUUGUAGUAAAUAUUUUAUAGUUAUUUUAUGUAAUUUUAUGCUUUUAUAGUAUUUUUAAUUUGGAUAUUUAAGAACAAAUUUAUUACUUAAAAUUAAAUAUGUAAUUUUAGUUAAAAUCAAUUAUAGUGAAUAUCUUUGAUAAUUUAAAAAUAAUAAUAAUAAGUUCAUUUUAUGGAACAAUUUCAGUGAUUAUAGCAAAAAUAAAUAAAUAAAUAAUUUAAGAUUAAUUUAAUGGAAGAGUCAACUUAAUCAUUAGGUAAUAAUUAAGCAUUAAUUUUCACCAAACAUUAUGUAUUGCUUGAUUUUAAGUACGUUUGUCUAGUGAGAAGAGAAAUAGCAUGGUCAUUUGGGGCAAUUUUUAGCUGUGAAUUUUUCAGAGUAAUUUGUUUAUUUUUUAAGUUCUAAAUUAUUUUUAAAAAUUAAUAUACUUGCUAUUAUAAAUUAAGUACCAGUUAAUUUGAAGUCUAUUUAUCAAAUAAGAAAAGUUGAAAAAAAAUAUAAUUUUACAAAUAAUAAUAAUAAUAAGAAGAAAGUUAUUUUAGGAUUAGUUUUUUUUUUCAUAAAUUUCAGAUAUUAACUGGAUUAUUAUUUAAAUUUCUAGAUUUUUUAAUAAAUUCAAUGUGUUAAGUCUUUUUUUUUUAAGUUAAUUAAAAAUUAUAAAAAUAUAUAAUUAUAUGACAUGGAAAAAUUAGUGAAGUAAUUCAUAAUCAGUUUUAGAGGAUAUUUGGUAAAUCAAAUUAAUGACUUAAUAAUUUAAUAUUACAACUUAAAGUUAAAAUUAACUUUAAAUAAUAAGUUCAAAUAGUUAACUUAUUAUUAAUAUCAAUUUUUUUUGUUUCAUUUACCCAUACUAGUGACAAUAUAUUUUAAAAUUAUGAUUUCAUAUUCAUGACUUAUUUUUUAUAAUAAAUGUUUUAUGAUUAUAUUAUACAUCUACAAUACUUUAAAUAUAAAUGUUUUAUGUGAAAUAUGACUAAUUAAAUUAAGCAAAUCACCUAAGAAAGAGUGAGGGAUGAAUUGGGUGUUAAAAGCUUUUUGAAAAUUUUUAAACAAACACAAAGAGAUAAGUAGAAUUAAGCAAGAUAAUAAAAAAAAUUAAAAAUAGAUAAAGAAAUUGCAAACUCUUUUUAUAACGGUUCAACAAUCUACCUACAUCCACUUUUUUCAAACUCUUAAUCAAGUAAAGGUUCCACUGUCUCCAAGGCUUUAAGACUAAAGUCUUCAAUCUUCUCACACUUGGAUUACAAGAUUCCAAUCGCUUCACACUCCCUUUAUGUUUACACACACUUGAAUCUUUUUCCUCAAAAAGAAUAAAUGGAAGAUGAUUCAAUGUUUUCAACCCUAGAAGGAUCUUACCUCACAAUACAAGAAGACUUAGGAUAGAUUUUGUGGUGUAUUAAUGGAAUAAGCAAGUUUGAAAUCAGAUGCACUUGAAUAAAGAGUUUUGAAAAUGAGAAAGUAGGUGCUUUUCAAUUCAAUGGAUGUGUUCCGUUAUCAACAAAUGCAAUAAACUCUUCAAUUUAUAGAAAACAUAUUAAAAACUUAAAACAACUAAAAGUAACAUCAAUCAAUCGAGUUUUGGUUCAAUAGAUUGACUAGUCAUUGAUGCAUUUAAUGUUGUGUAGGUGAUUGUUGGUGCUUUUAAAAUUCAACCAACCCUUUAUCAAACUUCCAUUGGGUAAGCCUAGCCGAUUAAGUCAGCUCUUCAAUCGAUUUGACCGAUUCAAAUAAAUCUUAAUCGACUAUACCCAAAAGUAAAUAAAAACCUCUAAUUUGAGGUUCCAACAACUUAUAUAACCCUUUUUAAAACCUUUUUUUUUUUUUAAAUUAAGUUAGUUUAGGAAGAAUUAAACUAAAGGUUUUGAAUGAAAACACCUAUUCAUCCACUUUCAUAAUAAAAAAUUAUUUUAAAGCUUAGGUAAGAAUAAAGAGAGUACCUUUCAAGUAUAUGAAAUAAAGUUUUAAACCUAAGUUUACCAUAGAAUACCACCUCACAAAUUUUCUAAACACUUUAAUACUUAAAGAAUCCAUGUCUUCAUGUCAUUUGAUUUUCUUUUAAGGUUGCUUAAACUUUCUUUAGUAAUUUUCAUUAAAACUUGAAAAUUUUACUUAAUAUAAAACGUUAGUGAACUUAACAUCGUUUUAUAAUCAUCAAAACUUGAUUGGAAGAACCAUUGGGCUAACAUUCUAUAAAUAAAUUUAUUACUUAAAAUUAAUGAAAAUAAAUAAUUUAAAAUCAACGAGGAUAAAUAUUAGUCAAAAUUAACAAGGGUAUAUUAAUCAAUUUGAUAAUUUAGUAUAAAUUUUAAGUUAUUAACUUAAAAUAAACAGCUUAAAAAUAAUUUAAUUUAAAGUUAACUUAAGUCAUUAAGUAAUAAAUAUUGACUUUUACUAAAUACCAACUUAGUUUCAUCACUUUUUAAUAUUAAUUGAAUUAGUUCUUUUAGUUCCAUGACUUUCUACUAUUAAUUGAAAUAGAUAUUUGGGAUAUAAAUUUUAAAUAUUAACAAAUCCAAUGCAUUAAGUAUAGUUUAAAAUAUAAGUGAUAUAUCUUAUUUUUAUAUAAAAAAAUACAAAGUUGAGAUGGCCGAGUUGGUCUAAGGCGCCAGAUUAAGGUUUUGGUCCGAAAGGGCGUGGGUUCAAAUCCCACUCUCAACAUGUUUAUUUUUGUUUUUAUCAAAUAUUCAAGCCCAAGCCCAUUUCAAACAAAACCCAAUUCUAUUUUCCAUUUUGUCUUUUCCAAUUUCUAACCAAAAUACAACAUGUUUAUUAUGUUUUUAUCAAUAUUUAACCCAAAUAUUCAAGCCCAAGCCCAUUUCAAACAAACCCGAAUUCUAUUUUCCCUUUUGUCUUUUCCAAUUUCUAACCAACAUAUCCAAGCCCGCAUUCUGAAUUCCAUUUUUUCUUUUCCAAUUUCCCUACGAUUUUUAAAAGAUUGUUCUUAUAAUUUUCCGUAAAGGUGAUGUCAAUUGUUGAAUUUGGGGCACACGACAACCGCAUAAGCAUUUGCAAGGUUACUUCUCCAUAGUUAGUGUAGCACGCCAGUGUACUUUUUCCUUUCAACUUGCUUUGAAGUCUUUGCUUGAGUGAUGAGAAGAGUAAUGCAUCGGUGCUAAUACAUUCAACCCGACCCCUAAUCCAACCCAAUCUCUAAUUCAAGGUGUUUAAUCGAAAUAUAACUUUUUUUAAUUUUUUCAAAUUUGAUUUAUGUUCAAGUCAAAUUUAAGUUGAUCAAAUUAAGCUCGGGUAUUCUGAAUUAUAUGUCAACAUCAUAUUAAGAUAUUAAACAUUUUUCUUAUAAAAUUAUUUGAAAUAAAAUAAAUAGAAUAUAAAUUAUAAGUAUCAUAAAAUAUUAACAAUUCAUUUGACAAUAAUUUUAGAAAAUAUUUUUAUUUAAAAAAAAAUAUUAAACGUUUAAUAAAAUUUUAAAAACUUUUAAAACUUUGAAAAAUCACUUAUAUGCUUCUGAGUAGAACCACCCUGACCACACUCAAAAUCAGGUUGAAGUAAAACCUAAUCUGUCAAAAUCCUUUACCCAAACCCAGAUAUUAAAAAUAUUUAUUCAUAGGGUCGAGUCACGUCAACCACUAAAAGAUAUCACAUUGCCUAGAAGGUUCGACAUAGUGGGCAACAUAUGACCAGGGAAACUAUCAUCAUUUGGAUGAACGUAAGCUUUCAGUCAUUUAUGGCUCACAUGAUUACUGUCUAUGUAAUGUUUUGGGUUAAUACCCCCUUACACAGGGCAUGAACUAGAACGGGACAAACCAAUCGGCAUCAAUUCAUUAGAGUUCCUGUGAAAUUUUUGACACAAAGUAGAAAAUGGGUCAAUCUGAAAUUAGGAGUAGAAUCCAAGCAAGGAAGCCAGAUUAUAAAGACACCAAAACUUAAACGAAAAAACAUGGAGGUUUCUCUAGCAGAAGAGUCUUGGAAGAAGUCAUGUGUGGAAGUAAAAGUCUAAAUGAUGGGCAAAAUGACCUUGACUGGGCAGAGAGAUGAAACUGAAAGCGACUUGUCUGUGUACACUAUUGGAAAUAUGACACCAACUGAGCGUAUGAUUUAACAAGGUACCAAGAGCCAUUUCCAAGAAGCCCUCUCUGAAUUGCAUCGAUAGUGCCGGCCACUAUAGAAUCCCCCCUGGCCCUUUUGGUUUGUUGCUUUCCAAUUCCAUAUCUGCAUGACGAAUUUCCCAUAUUGAUAAAAUUGUAUCUUAUCUCUGUCAGAAGCACCACAGCCACUUACAUUUCUCAUAAAAGAGGAGCCUUUACGUUAAAGGUCACUAUGAUGGAGAAAAAAAAAAAAGAUGAGCAACAGGACGAUUCCAUGGACCAGAGACCAUGUUCUUUAGACCUAAAGGUGAUCUGGAUCGUGUUGAUUGUAGCUGUUCAUUUGGGUCCCAUGGGAAAGUUUUGAUUGAUUAGAAGUCCACCACUAACGAUGGAUAUUGUAAGGAUGAAUUAUCGGAUACAACUGUUCAUUGACUUGUGAUGCCAAUCCAAAGUCCUAAACCGUUUGAAGGCUAGAGGAGAGAGGAGGGUUAUACUAUAUUGUUAUUGGAAACAAGAAAAACAAAGCUAACUUUGAAAAUUAUGAAAGGCAAAUGAGAACGCUGACCCGUUCUUACAGUUCUCCAUCAGACAAUCUGUCCAAAGGUCCCAACUCAUUGCCUCCUCAUUAUUCUGCACCAACAAAUACCCAGUGAAAAAUAAGAGAACAUUGGGUUGAACCAACAAGGGGAAAAGGGAAGGAAGACCACAAACACAAGAAUUGGGUGUGGGGAGAGAACGAGGGAGAAUGCAUUCUCCUUGCAUUAGGGAGACCUCAGAAGCCUGCUUUCAAGGUUGCUGUCUGGCUUCUUUGCCUGGUUUUCCUGAUCCCCAUGGCACGGAUCCAAAGAAUCUCAGCAGUGCUGCUGUAUCCAGGUACAAUUUUGCUCUCACCACAGUUUCAUCUCUCUUCCCAAACACCCAAUUCACCAACCAUGAAUCCCUCCCUCCGUUGGAUGAAUCGUUUUCUAGCUUCAAUAAAGCGUACCCACAAUACUCCAACACUAAUCAAGCCGAUCAGAUAAGAGCCCAAGAAUACUACCAUCUGUCCAUGUCCAACCAUGUAUGUCUUGAUUACAUUGGCCAUGGCCUCUUCUCCUAUUCCCAGCUACAAAGUCAUCACAUGACAGCCCCAGUUCCCUCUUCAUCAUCAUCUUCUGCUCCAUCACUGAAUUUCAGUUCUCUAGAACUGCCCUUCUUUGAAAUCUCCUACAAGUCAGUAAAUUUGAAUUCUCAGAUACUCUAUGGUGGAGAAGAGUCAGAAUUGGAAUCUAAAAUCCGGAAAAGAAUUAUGGAUUUUAUGAAUAUCUCUGAAGCAGACUACUCCAUGGUUUUCACUGCCAACCAGUCAUCAGCUUUUAAACUUCUAGCAGACUUCUAUCCAUUCCAGUCUAACCAAAAUCUUCUUACGGUCUAUGAUUAUGAGAAUGAGGCAGUGGGAGCAAUGAUCCGUGCAUCCAAGAAGAGAAGCGCCCGAGUCCUGUCGGCAGAGUUCUCAUGGCCUAAUUUGAGGAUUCAUUCAGCAAAACUGAAGAAGAUUAUACUAAACAAGAGGAAAAAGAGGAGAGGGUUGUUUGUAUUCCCACUUCAGUCAAGGAUGACUGGAGCUCGAUAUUCUUACUUGUGGAUGAGCAUGGCACAGGAGAAUGGGUGGCAUGUCUUACUUGAUGCAUGCGCAUUGGGACCUAAGGACAUGGAGACCUUGGGCCUCUCUCUCUUUAGGCCAGACUUUCUCAUCUGCUCUUUUUUCAAGGUUUUUGGGAAGAACCCAUCUGGGUUUGGAUGCCUAUUUGUCAAGAAAUCCAGUGCUUCAAUCUUAAAGGAUUCAACUACUGCUGUAAGUGUAGGGAUUGUGAGUCUUCUUCCAGCUACAAGACGAUCUCAGUUCCCUGAUGAAUCAGCCACUACUGAUAUAGAGACUGAACAAACAUCAAAGCUUAAAUUGCAUAAGGGUGAGUUGCCAGCAGCAAGUUCCUUGUCUGGGCCUUUACCUGUUCAGAAAAUAAGCAAUGAAACUUUUGAAUCAUAUGAAAUUUCUGAUGUUAACUUCAAACAGAAGGGUUCAUCAUCCUCCGAAAUUGUGGAAUUGGAGAUGCCACUUGACAUUCCCCAAUCCCUAAACAAAGACAGCAGCGUCAAUGGGUACUCACAGAUUGAAUGUAGAGGCUUGGAUCAUGCGGAUUCAUUGGGCCUGAUACUGAUCAGUUUGAGAGCAAGAUUCCUGAUCAACUGGCUGGUAAAUGCAUUAAUGAGCCUUCGACACCCACAUUCAGAAAAUGGACUUCCCCUAGUCAGAAUCUAUGGCCCAAAUGUAGCAUUUGACCGAGGACCAGCUGUGGCAUUCAAUGUGUUUGAUUGGAAAGGAGAAAAGGUUGAGCCCACUCUAGUGCAAAAGCUUGCAGAUCGAAGCAACAUUUCCUUAAGUCAUGGAUUUUUGCAGCAUAUAUGGUUCUCAGAUAAGUACGAAGAAGAGAAAGAGAAGAUUCUAGAGCUAAGGACCAUUGGAGUGGAAGGAACACUAGGAAAUAAAAAGCGAGAUAAAUCUAGUUCAGGAAUAUCUGUGGUCUCAGCAGCAUUAGGACUCCUAACCAACUUUGAGGAUGUGUACAACCUCUGGGCAUUUGUAUCCCGGUUUCUAGAUGCUGACUUUGUGGAGAAAGAGCGAUGGAGAUAUGUGGCUCUAAAUCAGAAGACAGUCGAAGUUUAAAUUGAACUUAUUCUUUCAUUCUUUCACAUUAUGUCAAUCCAUAAUUUAUUAUGAUUUAUGCAUUCCUACUGUCAUAUUGAGUCAUAUAAUCACACCAAAAAAGAAAAAAUUAUAUUUCUAGUAGAAGAAAGAAUAACACAAACUGUUCUUCUGAUUCAAAUUUCAAUUAUUUGUAUCACAGUUGAUUCGGGUUUAGAAAUUAAAUGGUAAGAAUGUGGAUAAAAUAGCACAAGUCCACAAGCUUCCAUUUAUGGUACUUCGCAACCAUGGGUGUUCUAAAAUCUAUCAUCACCGUUUGUCUAGGAACAAUCUUGAUUUAUAUUUGGAUGGAAUAUCUCAUUGAGAUAUAACUCAAAUAUCAAUCUGAUCUAACUCAUGAUCAGAGGCACAUGACUGAAGAACUGACAUGUCCAUGGAUGGGUCUGGAAUUUUGAGUUACUGCUUGGAGGGAGCUGUUUAAACUGCUUCUAUUGGGGUUGCCUGAGCCAAUUUUUCAUUUAUUGAGAUUUCUAACAUGAAGGUAAGUGUUUCAUGUUUUCAACUGGGCUUGGUUCCUAAAUUUGUAUGCCAGGCAUGACCUUUCUCUUGCUGUAGUACAAACUACUAAUGGGAGUUCCUGAGAACCAUAUCCCUGGCAUCCACAGUAGGAGAAGAUCAAUACUUUGGCACACAAAUUUCAUAAUCUCCAAAAUGAAAGACAAUGGAAUCCUUCGGUUUCUUUUCUCUAGGAAGUCACUUGUUGGCAACUGGGUGGCUAUUUAGACCUUAUUAAUCUAACAAGCCCUAAGAAAUCAAAGAGAACUGUCGCCAUAGAUUCCCCACAUAUCAUGGAUGCCAAAUGGCCAUGAUUUUAACAUUCAAUUUGAAUGGCUCCUAUUUGAAGAUGAAGAAGCAUAUGAUGCUCCCCCAAAUUGUCGUAAACUCAAUGACCAGUGCUCAUAUUAAUUCUGUCCUCCAUAGAAUCGGAUAGAAAUCCUCAAAGGUUGCAUGGAAAUGGAACCAAUAUCACAACUAAACAGCAUUUUGAUGAAAAGAAGAUUCUGUGUUAAUGCACUUGAUUCAGGAAUUUCUUUGAAUUCAUACACAAGAAGAAAACAGAUUCCCUAAAACCCCAGACAAAUUUUACCAGCAACAGACAGGCAGUACAAUAAUUUAGAAAUUAAUAGCACAUCAAUCUGAUUUUCACCAAAUUUAGAUAUCAGAAAAACUGCCGAGAAAUUAAACCACAACCCCCCCACCCCGAAAAGAAAGAAAAAAAAAUCCAGAUGUUCAUAAACUCAUAUAUGGAAAUCUAUCCCUACCCACUACAUAAAAGCCCUAUAUCCAGAAACCGACCAAGCUAGAUCACACAUCCAUUGAUAAACCUAACAAAUAGGGUCGACUAUAAGGAAAGUCGAUGGUUCAGAUGUCAAAAUUCACAAUGUUCAUAGCCAUUUUGCCUCAAAACUUUAGUUUAAGAAUCAAAGAGAAGUCAAGGACAGGUGGGAGAAGCACAGAGCAUGUUCAAAACGAUAAAACAACAGUUCUAUCACAUAAAAAUAAAAAAUAAAAGAUAAAAAAAGGAAGAAGAAGAAGAAGAGAAGCAAAAAAUUUGCUUCGCCAGAACUCCACGGUCAGCGGCCUCUACAUACUUUGAAGAGAGGUCUCGAUCUA
rnacentral:lncRNA from 1 species